UACGAACCGUCCAAACGUUAUUCGGAAUUACUGGGCUUAAAGGGUUUGUAGGCGGCCUUGUAAGUGGGGUGUGAAAUCCCUCGGCUCAACCGAGGAAUAGCGCUCCAAACUACAUGGCUUGAGGGAGACAGGGGUAAGCGGAACUGAUGGUGGAGCGGUGAAAUGCGUUGAUAUCAUCAGGAACACCGGUGGCGAAAGCGGCUUACUGGGUCUCUUCUGACGCUGAGAAACGAAAGCUAGGGUAGCGAACGGG
rnacentral:rRNA from 1 species